GACGAACCGUGCGAACGUUGUUCGGAAUUACUGGGCGUAAAGGGCGCGUAGGCGGCGUGACAAGUCACUUGUGAAAUCUCCGGGCUUAACUCGGAACGGUCAAGUGAUACUGUCGUGCUAGAGUACAGAAGGGGCAACUGGAAUUCUCGGUGUAGCGGUGAAAUGCGUAGAUAUCGGGAGGAACACCAGAGGCGAAGGCGGCGACCUGGACAGAUACUGACACUGAACUACGAAAGCGUGGGGAGCAAACAGG
rnacentral:rRNA from 1 species